CGCUAUCACUCCUACGGGAGGCAGCAGUGGGGGAAUAUUGCACAAUGGGGGAAACCCUGAUGCAGCCAUGCCGCGUGUGUGAAGAAGGCCUUCGGGUUGUAAAGCACUUUCAGUAGGGAGGAAGGUAGUGUAGUUAACACCUGCAUUAUUUGACGUUACCUACAGAAGAAGCACCGGCUAACUCCGUGCCAGCAGCCGCGGUAAUACGGAGGGUGCGAGCGUUAAUCGGAAUUACUGGGCGUAAAAGCGCAUGCAGGCGGCCUGUUAAGUCAGAUGUGAAAGCCCGGGGCUUAACCUCGGAAUUGCAUUUGAAACUGGCAGGCUAGAGUCUUGUAGAGGGGGUAGAAUUUCAGGUGUAGCGGUGAAAUGCGUAGAGAUCUGAAGGAAUACCAGUGGCGAAGGCGGCCCCCUGGACAAAGACUGACGCUCAGAUGCGAAAGCGUGGGGAGCAAACAGGAUUAGAUACCCUGGUAG
rnacentral:rRNA from 1 species